UACCCGACGACACGGCGGCCGCCGUCGAGAACCGUACGCGCGAUCAAGCCCAUCAGCCCGAUGCUGCCGCCGCCGUAGACCAGAUCGACGCCCCGCCUCACCUGAAAAACAAAAAAAGGAGAAGAAUCUCACGGCUCGCACCUGAAAAAAAAAGUGUGAAACCAAGGAUGGAAAAGUACGAUGGCGGCGGCGGCGGCGGCGAGCGAGACAGCUCGACCGUCGCCGCGCCACGCGCCCGCCCGUUAUCUACGCGUACCAGCUCGUGGCCGAGGUCGAGCGCCGCGUCGCCGAACACCCUGCGGCGCCCCGCGUUGCUGCCGCAGAAGACGCAGAUCGUCCCGAACCUGCUCGCCGCGGUCGCCCCCGCCG
rnacentral:sRNA from 1 species